rnacentral:lncRNA from 1 species
UUCUUAGAAAAGCUAUUUCAUAUCCCUUUCUUGGAGUCGAUGUCAUACAUCACCUUGUUGUAGGUUCUGGGAUCAUCUCUAUGCUCUCCAUCUCCCGUGAGAAAUGACUUUCUCUACAUCCUUUGUUAAGCAUACCCAAGUACCUUUCGAGAGGAUUGGAGAUCCUAAUGUGUGUAUGAGGUAGAGGAGGAAUAUACGUCUACUGGCUCAUGAUGAAUAGGUUCUUAAAGUCCUGUAGCUCAUAGCUCUUCAGAGAUACUCUCUUUGAGCUUGACUUUUCUCCCACUAUUUUAUCUUGGUCAAAUAAUUUUUCAAGAAG